CGGAGGCUGGGCGCUUGAGGGCUGGGCCUGCGGGCCGCGGGACAGGGAGGGCGCGGGGCCGGGCUGCUGGGUCCGAGCUCUGGGCACGAUGUCCUCCCUGACGCCGCCAGGACAGCGCCUGGCCCAGGCCUGGGCCUGGUGAACGCGGGUUUCUUCCUCUGAGGUUCAACACUCCGCACUUGGGUUGGCUCCUUUCAUCCUGAUUGGUUUAUUCGCCACGUGCCAAGCACUGAAGAGGGCGUGCAGGAUGGAUACUUUUGGAGCAAAAAUAGCCCUGCUUCUUUCCUGGGGAGGGAUCGCACUUUCUAGAGGGGCGGUUUUCAAAGUAUGGUCUCAGGACUAGCAGCAUCGAAAAUGCUGGGAACUCGUUAGAAAAGCAAGUUUUCAAUCCUCGCCCCAGAAUCAGAAACUCGGGGUGGAGCCCAGCAAUGUGUGUCCUGACAAGUCCACGCGCGACCCCAGUGCUGGCUAGGGUUGCAAAGCCACUGCUCUACGGAGCGAGCGAGAUCCAUCAUAGUGGGACAAGCGAGAGGAUGAGGCCAUACAGACCAGGGCAAGAGAGAGGCUCCUUACACUGACAUUCAAAGUCCUCAAUGACCCGGCCCCAGCCUACCUCUGCAGCCUUAUCUCCCUACAAACCAUCAAAGCAGAACAAAAACCUGUCCCUCCGAUUUAGGUUUUAGCAAACCACAAGAAGCACUUCAUAAACUGGUGACUCAAGUAGAAAAGCCAGGUACUGUUCCACGCACUUGACACCAAUCCACCCAUUUCACCUGCAUGAUCACCCUGCCUUUGCAUGAGUUGCCGGUGUGGACAGAGCAGGGACACAGUGAGACAGCGGAUUCCAGCUUUGCUCUUACCUAGAACACACUGCCUCUCACCAGGAAUCGUCCUUCCAUUUUAUGCAGUUAUCCCAGACAAUGAUGCACAAGCUUUGGGAAAAAAACCCCACAAGUCCAAAGGUGUACUUCAUAAUAAAGGCAAGUUAUCUGUCAGUUUGUGUGUUCUGG
rnacentral:lncRNA from 1 species